UAAAUACACCCUUUAAUUUUAUUGACAACGUAUUUUAACAAAAAAAAUUAAAAUGACAGAAAUAUGAAUGAUGCAAUUUUAUAAACCCCUCGCCGACGUCUCUCAUUUUCUCCAUCGCUUGAUUCUCAUUUUCUCCAUCGCUUGAUUCGAUUCAGUCUCUGCUUUUCAGUGAUUCGAACUGUGGUGCAGGGGAUGGAACUGUUGGAAGGUGUUUUUUUAUUGGAAGCAAAGGUUUUGGAUCCAAUAGAGUUAUGCUUUGGUGGUUAAUGUAGUUGCUUUCAGUUCCCAAGUGUUGUACUUAUUGAUAUGUUUUCUGAUUGACUCAUUGGGGUUUUGUUCACACUGUGGAGAAGAUGUGAUUUUGUGUAAAAAUUGGAACCAAAAGGAAAUUAUGGCGCUGAGGAAGAAACUGUGGGAGAGUUCCGAUUUCAAUGGAAAAUUUGUGUACAGCUUUUCAAGGUAUUACAGUUCAAACAAGGUGGACUUAAGGAAGCUAAAGCCUAUGAUUCAUAAUAAAAUCCAAAACCCGGCUAAGGAUUACCCAAUGCUGGCCAUGAUACCGGUAGCCCAGGAGGUCAUGGAGUGCCGGAGACUCGUUAUGCAAGGUGUCUCUACUCUCCUCAAAAUGGUGCCCGUUCUGGCCUGCAAGCGAGAAAGGCCACUUAAUUCAGACUUCUUGUGGGUUCAAACGUCGUGGCAAGAAUAAAGUUUGAAUGGAUAGUUGGUGGUUUGAAAGAUGUGCUUGUUCCAGUAGAGGCAUUUCACCUCAAGCACAUGUUCCAGGAUGUUAUAAAACACCAUCAGAGGUUUGACCUUGAACGUGUUCCUGCAGUUGUCGAGCUAUGCUGGCAAGCAGGGGAGAACGAUAUUAUGAUGGAAAUCAUUUAAAUUGGAACUUUGAAAGUGAGUGUGUUGGCGUUAACGGAGCUGAGUCUUUGUUACCCGAUGAACUGAUUCUGGUUGCCAGUGAAACUUUGAGGGCAUGGGAAAUUCUUAGAAAUGGCAUGGAGAAGUUGCUGAAGGUUUAUCCAGCGAAAGUCUGUAGACAUUAUUUAGAAGUUCGUUUUGGGCUAUCUGGACAUAAGGCUAGGCUUCAUGGAGUUUUCAAGUAUGAGAGUGAGCAGGGAAUCCACUUUUGGAGAAGAGCAAAUGUGGAUGAUCAUGUGCCUUCAAAGAGUGUAUGGCGGUGGCAGCCUCAGGAUCCUCAAGUACCUUCGAAUGAAGGGAAGGGAUUUUAUGGGCAUGCUCCUGCAAUGAUAAAACUAUGUACACAAGCAGGUGUCAUUGCACCCCCCAAAGUAUCACUGCAUGAUGAAACUGCAGGGUGUAAGUACCACACUUGGAGAUCAAAGGUUGUUCCACUUGAAUAGUAAAAUGAAAAUGUCGAUUAAUUCCAAGGUAGAAAAUUGAGCCUAGCAGAAACUCCCCAGGAUUGUCAGAUCACAGAUGUGCGUAGAAUUGCUUAUAGUUGUAACAUUUGAUCUGAAAUGGGAAAAUGAACCUCAUAGAAGCUCCCGUAAGACUGUCUGAUCUUCAUUAUUGAGAAUGAUUGUAAUUUCAGAUGAAUGACUACGAAGUUCGAGAUGGCUGGCAAUAUCAACUGAGCACGUAUUGCCCCCCUUCACUUCAUGAUAAAGCUAUGGAAUAAUUACUAUUCUUGUGCAUAUCGGCAUCCACUGCGAUAGAACGUCACUUCGAACAAAUAUCUGGAAUCUCCAUCUUCCACACCAUGCCAUUUUUUAGGCUGCAGUUGUCUAUCCAUCUCUCUUACUUUAUUUGAUCGACAAUGCACGAUUGCUACCAUAUAAAGGAUUUCAGGUUCGUAGAACCUCACUCCCCUGUAUCACCUUACAAUGACUGGUAAAGAAUGGUUUUUAAGUUCAAAAUUUUGGUACUAGUCAUGUCCAAACCCAAUUAUUCCAUCGUUCUACAUGUAUGUUGAAUCAUUUAAAAAGCAUAAAUUUUGAUCACGAGCAUGAUUCAGGAAGGAUAUGCUGCCCCUAGUCCCCCACCACACACGCGCGCGCACACCACUUACAUGCAGUGUUCUAAAAAAUUUCGUCUAGAUCUUGCCUAGGCGCUUGGGGGCUAGCCACCGCCCGACUAAUCCUUAGGCGUUUGAAAAUUAAAAAAAGGGCACUUAGACCUGCCUAGCCUAGGUCGCGACUUUCAUUUAGACAGAAAAUAUAUAUCUUUCAUUUUGUAUUUUAUUUUUUCAAUAAGUGUAAAAGACUUGUUAAAUACUUAAAUGAACACGCAUUAUAUGAUU